CACGUUUACUCUGACCCUAUGCUUAAAAUGGAGCCUUAUAAAUAACACACGUGCUUCACCAUCAACCUUAACAAAGAAGCAAGUUCUGCGUACGUUCAUCUGAGAUGUUGUGGUUGAUGUAAAAAUAAAUCAUCAAGUCGAAGCUUUUGACAGGUUAUUUGAUUGGCGUUUUAAGUAACAUACAGAGCAGGGAUGGGCACAGGAAGAAGAUACAACCCUCGCCCAAAUGAAGGAAGAUGCUCAAUGCGGGGAUAUUACCCAGAAGAACAACAAGUGAUCUGCCGUCAGCUCAAGGUCGGAUUUCAGCAACGAAUGCAGAGUUGAUGUUAGAAUCAGUGUAUCCAUGGUCACUCUCCAGAGAAAACUACAUUGUGGAUUUACAUUGCAGAUAGAAGCUGGUCACUGAUUUCUUUGGGACAAAUGGCUGAUAAACAUGAGGUCAUCAUUUUAAGUUUUAUUAUUUAAAUUUAAAAACAGUAUUCAUAAAAUCAACAUACACUUUAACACUAUAAGGGUCCCUGAUGUCAGCACACACUUUUCUGUUUUUUAGUGGAGAAGAAAACAUGUUGCGAUUCUGUGGAAAGAAAAACAUAAUUAAUCCUUUGAUCCACUGAUGUGCUUAAGCCAUUUUUUCCUCAUAAUCUGUAAAAAGUCCUGUAUGUCCUGCAUGAAUAACACAAAAUUGACCUGUGUAAUACAUUUUUUCCCCCCACAAUGCCAUUUAAUUUUACUGUACUGUAUCAUUUAAGUGAACACAGAUCAAGCAAUGACAGGUUCUAGUAGUGAAAAAGCUAGAUUUGUACAUUUUGAUGGUUCACAAAGGUAGUUGAUCUUGUUGACCAAUGAAGCAGAAAUAUGGUUUUAACUGAUCAGUAAUCUUUAUAAUUUAGGCUCAGUUUUAAUGAGAGUCAUAUUUGGAAAAAUAGAUGAUGUUAUAUAGGCCUUCUCUCAAAUUGGCCUGAUAGCAAGCCCUCUCAAAAAACACAAACACUAAAAACAAAUAAAAAACACAAAAAAAAUAUACUUAAUGUUUUAAGAUAUUUAAUGAUUUGAUAGAUUAUACUUUAUGAAAACUUUAACAAUUUGCUAAAGGUGUCAUUACACACUGGUGUUCUCCUUAUGUUGGUUUCACUAUAGGUGCCACCAGAAUGUGCUGCUUCAAGUGAAUUGAAAGAACAAAUCAUUUCGCAAAGCACAUGAUUCAAUUUAUUCAGAGUUUAGAAAAGCUUCUCCCCUCACUAGCCUAGACAACAAUGUCUGAAAAUAAUAACAUGAACAAUAUUUCAUUAAUAAUUAUAAUAUAAUAUAUAUAAUAUAAUAAUUUAUAGUUAAUUGUCCCUAGUCAAUUUAAUGCACUCUAUAGUAGUAAUGUCUUUAGUUUCUGAAUUUUUUUAAGGAAAAUCAGUACUGAAAAAUAAAUGGUUGUCAUUUGGAUAUUCUGGGACAUUUACUAGAAAGCACGUUUUCAAAGGAAGAACUACACAGCAAGUUUAAUGUGAGCAGUCUAAACAUUAUAAUAUAAAGAUCCAAUUGAUCAGCUGUUGGCUCUUACCUGUUAACACUGGUUUAUCAAAGUAGGUUCAGCGGAGUCUGAAACGUCUUUAAAAUAAAAAAAUAAAGUGAAGCUUUAUGUACUUUUAGAUUGAAGACUACAUCAAUAUUAUAGUAAGGUGCUUCCUAUUACAAUCAUAUUUGAAAUGUUUGACUGUGUUAAUAAAGAACUGUUCAGAUAUUCACUUACUGUUUCAUCAUCCUCAGUUGCUUCUUGUGGGGUGCGACAUUCACCUGCUAAAUAAAAAGUAUUAGUACUGCUGUUAAUUAUAGUAACGUUAAAAUAAGCAUUUAAUGCAAUUUUAAAAUAAGAAUUUAGUUCUUACAUUUCUUAGAACGCCUUGCUUUAUGUUUUCUGUAUAUGAUGUAUGCUGAUAUAAUAGCCACAGCCACAACAGCUACAAGAACUGUAGUGACUCCAACUAUGAGACCAACUGAAUUCGCUUUCUCACAUUCAGCAUCAGAGGACGAUGUUCCUGCUUUUAUUUCAGUAAGUCCCUUAGUAUCACACCUGAAGAGAUUUAAUUAAGUAAUAUUAGUAUAUCCAGUUUUAGUUUAGUUAGUAAUCUUUAAAUUGUGGACACUUUAAAUGAUCUGUGGACACUUCUCACUUUGUAUGUGGUAAGCAGGCUGUCAGAGAGCCAUUUGAAUAAGUUCCAUCUGUGCAGCCUGCACAUACAGUAUCAGUAAAUGCUGUUCCUGUAAAAUAUAAAAUGUCAUUAAACUGCUUUAUUGUUGCAAUUACUAGGGUUAAACACAUUAACACCUUUUGCAUGCAUUUUGUCCCUGUUUAUAAAAUUCUACAAUUGAGAAUAUAUCCACUCA